UACGGGGGGGGCAAGCGUUGUUCGGAAUUACUGGGCGUAAAGGGCUCGUAGGCGGCCAACUAAGUCAGACGUGAAAUCCCUCGGCUUAACCGGGGAACUGCGUCUGAUACUGGAUGGCUUGAAUCCGGGAGAGGGAUGCGGAAUUCCAGGUGUAGCGGUGAAAUGCGUAGAUAUCUGGAGGAACACCGGUGGCGAAGGCGGCAUCCUGGGCCGGCAUUGACGCUGAGGAGCGAAAGCCAGGGGAGCAAACGGG
rnacentral:rRNA from 1 species